rnacentral:lncRNA from 1 species
AGGGUGAGAAGGAAAGAAAAUUUUUUUCAGAUGAGUGUAUUCCAACACAUCCUGCCUAAUAAAGUCAAGUCUGAAGGGACAAAUGAGGUGUGGAAUUGAGUCCUUCCAACAUUCCACUAUGUUGAGCAUUCUUCCUGUUCAAAGAGGCAGUGAGGGAUAAUUUGUGAGUUGCUGCAGUUAAAAAGAAUGUGCCAUACAAGCACCAAGGGCAGAGAGAAGGAUGGAGUUACUGGUCGUAAGAAGAGAGCUGAGUUUACAAAAGUGCCAAAUACAUGAACAAGAACACACCAUUAAAUUCCUCUCAGACAUUGUAUAUGAGAAUAGGUACAUCUGUGGGCUAUCACAAUGGUCAGUCUUACUCCAUGCAGCAUAAGCAUAGCAGAUGUUAGCAGAGAUCGAUAGAAUUCAGAUUAGCCUAAAAGCCUCCAAUAUACAGUGUUACCUCUCCCUCCCUCUUUAUGCAUGCAUUAGUUUGCUGAACAAGUGACUGACUUCUGUUUAAACAGCCUCAGUGAUACUGGGCAUCUCUGUGGUCAGCUCUUUUCCUCUGCACCUCUGGAACUGAAUACAUUAUUCCAAAUGGGUUCUGUCCCACAAAACAUGAAGAGUAAAAUGAGGAACUGGAUAGGUAGGUGGCAAACAGCAAAAGUUAUUUGGGCAUGUAACUUGUAAGUAGACUAACCAAGUAAGCAAGAACUAUUGGAAAAAUUUAACCUCCCUAAGGUAAAGUGUAUGUUUUAAUACAUGCUUUAUUAAUUGACCAAACAAGCACUUGGUGAUAUUUUCAGGUGCCAGAAAGCAUUAUGAUGAAGACCAUGUUGAAAUAAAUAUUCAGCCAGCACUUGUAAGUUACUGUGACCAUACAUGCUUGCAUGAAGUUGAGGUUUAACUACCCUUUAUCCCAUUAAGGACUAGAAUAAGACUAGGCAAACUAUAGCCAGCCCUGCCUGUGUCUUUAUAGCUGAGGAGUUAAGAACGUUGUUUAUAUUUUUGAAGUGUUAUUGUGGGGGUACAGGCACCCUAUUUGAGAC